CGCGGCCUAUCAGCUUGUUGGUGAGGUAACGGCUCACCAAGGCUUCGACGGGUAGCCGGCCUGAGAGGGCGACCGGCCACACUGGGACUGAGAUACGGCCCAGACUCCUACGGGAGGCAGCAGUGGGGAAUAUUGCACAAUGGGCGAAAGCCUGAUGCAGCAACGCCGCGUGCGGGAUGACGGCCUUCGGGUUGUAAACCGCUUUCAGCUCCGACGAAGCGCAAGUGACGGUAGGAGCAGAAGAAGGACCGGCCAACUACGUGCCAGCAGCCGCGGUGAUACGUAGGGUCCGAGCGUUGUCCGGAAUUAUUGGGCGUAAAGGGCUUGUAGGCGGUUUGUCACGUCGGAAGUGAAAACUCAGGGCUUAACCCUGAGCCUGCUUCCGAUACGGGCAAACUAGAGGAAUGCAGGGGAGAAUGGAAUUCCUGGUGGAGCGGUGGAAUGCGCAGAUAUCAGGAGGAACACCAGUGGCGAAGGCGGUUCUCUGGGCAUUUCCUGACGCUGAGAAGCGAAAGCGUGGGGAGCAAACAGGCUUAGAUACCCUGGUAGUCCACGCCGUAAACGGUGGGCACUAGGUGUGGGACUCAUUCCACGAGUUCCGUGCCGUAGCUAACGCAUUAAGUGCCCCGCCUGGGGAGUACGGA
rnacentral:rRNA from 1 species